UACGAAGGGGGCUAGCGUUGUUCGGAAUUACUGGGCGUAAAGCGUGCGUAGGUGGUUGUUUAAGUCUGUCGUGAAAGCCCUGGGCUCAACCUGGGAAUUGCGAUGGAAACUGGGCGACUAGAGUGUGGCAGAGGAUAGUGGAAUUCCUGGUGUAGCAGUGAAAUGCGUAGAGAUCAGGAGGAACAUCCGUGGCGAAGGCGACUGUCUGGGCCAACACUGACACUGAGGCACGAAAGCGUGGGGAGCAAACAGG
rnacentral:rRNA from 1 species